UUGAUAUGAAUGGCUGGCGAUCUUUCAGACACAAAUGAUACUUGCAUCCAGCGUCUAGAUCUGAAGAGUUUCGGAGCUGCCACUCCAUUAAUCUAUAAUGCAAUCAUGCUUUUUUGUUUCCUUAAGAUUAAUUCUAAGCACUGAAAAAAGUCACUUCUGUGUGUGUCGGUGCAUUUCACAGGUGUUCUGUGAGGCCUGCAGAAAGACACUGCAGGCGUGUAACCAGAGACCUCGCAGACCUUGUGGGAACUCUGAUAAGAUACUCUUGCUCUUUUCCUCCCCUCCCCACUCUCUCUUUUCUGUCUUUUUCAGUACGAUGGGGCAAAAGGUGAGGGCGGGAAGCCAAACAAAGGCAUGUGUGCCUCUGCCGUAGUUGAGCAGGACCCCUCGCUCGUCUGUCAGAAGGCCGGGGUGCACCGUUUACAAUGGCAUUCUGCAUACAGACACUAGAGAAAGUGACCGGUGAGAGGGCAGCAUGUCGUCCCCACGGUAACAAGACCCUUGGGCCGGUUGAAAAAAGGGGGUGUAGAAGCACUCAAGGGCCUUGUCCUUGCUCUCAGAAAUUCCCUGGCAGUCAUAGAAACAUCGUUAGACUCCGGCAGCUUCCAGGGACCUCAUUCAUCCCUCCCGUCGCUGGAUCGCAUUACUUGCGCUGGCCCGGUGGCCAAGAAUUCAGGAUGGAAAGGAUAAAAAUCUGAUGAAAUGGAAAAAUAAUCCCUGUUGAUGCCAGCUGAUUUUGUUUGUGGAACACACCUCAGUCUUCACUGGAGUCUCCAAAGCACCAGGAACCAGGCCAAUUCAUUUUCCGAUUUCUUGCAUUGACUUAGGGACUAGGGCUAGGCCUGGCUUGGAUAAGGCCAACAUCCUGCUUCUGU